rnacentral:lncRNA from 1 species
GUUUUCUCGAGUAAUGGUAGAUUCCUCCACACACAAAAAAACAAACUGGCUCAUGUGAUCAAGCCAAGCAUGCUGAUAGGGUCUUAAAUGCCAACGAUGAAUCAAUGCACUGUUCCUAAAUAAACCAGUGUACCUUUGAUUGUAUAAGAGAAAGAACUUAUAGUUUUAAGAAAUCUCUAAUGAUAAAGGCUUUAUUGGCUUGCUAUGCUAGAUCACCUUACAUCAGUUAUCUUAAAGUUUUUACAAAUCUCCACAAAACCAUCUGCACAACCUCAA